rnacentral:rRNA from 1 species
AUUGAACGCUGGCGGCAGGCCUAACACAUGCAAGUCGAGCGCGAAAGUUCUUCGGAAUGAGUAAAGCGCCGGACGGGUGAGUAAUACAUGGGAAUCUGCCUGGUAGUGGGGGACAACGUUUCGAAAGGAACGCUAAUACCGCAUACGCCCUACGGGGGAAAGGGGGGGAUCUUCGGACCUCUCGCUAUCAGAUGAGCCCA